CCUACGGGAGGCAGCAGUAGGGAAUAUUGCUCAAUGGGGGAAACUCUGACGCAGCAACGCCGCGUGGCUGAUGAAGGUUUUCGGAUUGUAAACUCCUUUUGUUAGAUAAGAUCAUGACCGUUUCUAACGAAUAAGCACCGGCUAACUCCGUGCCAGCAACCGCGGUAAUACGGAGGGUGCAAGCGUUACUCGGAAUGACUGGGGGGAAAGUGCGCGUAGGCUGGUUAGCAUGUGUGAUGUGAAAUCCUAGGGCUUAACCAUAGAACCGCAUUUGAAAAUGUUAUUCUAGAGGUGGGGAGAGGUAGGUGGAAUUCUUGGUGUAGGGGUAAAAUCCGUAGAGAUAAAGAGGAAUACU
rnacentral:rRNA from 1 species